rnacentral:rRNA from 1 species
GACGAACGCUGGCGGCGUGCCUAAUACAUGCAAGUCGAACGCAGUGGGGACGGGUGAGUAACACGUGGGUAACCUCCCAUCAGAGGGGAUAACACUUGGAAACAGGUGCUAAACCGAUACUGAUGGAUGGACCCGCGGUGCAUUAGCUAGUUGGUGAGGUAACGGCUCACCAAGGCCACGAUGCAUAGCCGACCUGGAAGGGUAGUGGACCACACUGGGACUUAGAUACGGCCCGGAAUCCUACGUGAGGCAGCGGUAAGGAAUCUUCGGUAAUGGACGAAAGUCUGCACGAGUAACGACGCGAGAGUGAAGAAGGUAUUCGGAUCGUAAAACUCUGUUGUUAGAGAUGCGGUAUCUAACCAGAAAGCCACGGCUAACUACGUGCCAGCGGCCGCGGUAAUUC